rnacentral:rRNA from 1 species
UACGGAGGGUGCAAGCGUUAAUCGGAAUUACUGGGCGUAAAGCGCACGCAGGCGGUUAAUUAAGUUAGAUGUGAAAUCCCCGGGCUUAACCUGGGAAUGGCAUCUAAGACUGGUUAGCUAGAGUCUUGUAGAGGGGGGUAGAAUUCCAUGUGUAGCGGUGAAAUGCGUAGAGAUGUGGAGGAAUACCGGUGGCGAAGGCGGCCCCCUGGACAAAGACUGACGCUCAGGUGCGAAAGCGUGGGGAGCAAACAGG